GGGCUCCCUUCAGCAGCACAUAUACUAAAAUUGGAAUGAUACAGAGAAGAUUAGCAUGGCCCCUGCAGAAGGAUGACAUGCAAAUUCGUGAAGCAUUCCAUAUUUUU